CUCCCUCUUCGCUCUUGUUUCUUUAACUUAUUUCCCUUCCUCAUUUUCCCUUUCUUUUCGUUCGCUUUUCCUUGUCACUCUCCUUCUUGUUCUCUUCUGUCUCUUUCUGUAUCUCCCUCUUCCAUUUUGGCCCCUUCUCUGCCUCUGGGUUUCCCUUUCCCGGGCCCCUCACUCUUCCUGGGCUAGGAUUGCGCCGUCUCCCUGCAUCAUUUUUCCUGGCUCCGCUGCCUCUUUCUCACUUUUUCGUUCUCCCGGCGGCCACCGUCUGGCGGGCUUGGGUCCGGCUCCCCCGCCGCCGCAGUGAUUUAUUCGCUUCACCCGGCGGAAUCAGGUGCUGAACCGAGCCCCGGAACGAGAGAACAGAUUUCUCCCAGGAAAGGUUUUGUGAACUAAACGAUGCUAAUUACGGGGUGGGGGAUGCGUCGCCCGGGAAGGGGAGGCGCGCGGGGCCGAGCGCGGCCUGGGAGGGGAGAGACCGGGGCUGGCCGAGGCCCUCCCGGGGCGCCUCCCCUGCACCUCUCGCCCUGGCUUUCGCCUUUCCCUGGGAACUUUCCCGUCUGAGUUAACUAUUAACCACCGGCGAGAGGCAAUUUUCUUCGGAAUUUCAGCGAUUUCCUUUUCGCAGUGGACUCAGAUUAGCACGCAAACAGUGAGAUGCUCGGCUUGAGUCUACGCGCGGGCGAAGAUGCCUCUGUCGCCUCAAACAGUGUCCUUCGCGACGGCGGAAAACUACAGCCCGCCCCCGCUCCCGUGCCUGCUCAGGAAGCCGUGACCAAGCCAGUGCCCGCCGGUGCCCGGAGUGAAGGUGGAAAAAGCCGAGUGCUCCUGCUCGGGGGCGGGGUUGAGAGGGGGAGAUUAAUCCGGGCAAGCCAAGGGGACCUUAGACUUGCAGCCAGGGCCGCCACCCGAGGAGCCCGCAUGCAGGGACGCGCCUGAAGGCUUAGUCAAACCCGGGGAAAUGCCCUCCCCCGCCUGCAGAAUCCCCACGCCGUCUCUUACUUCCUCCCUCUUUGCCACUGGCGAGCUUACACGUGCACACACACACACCCCUCUCUGUCUGUGACCGCAACAAACUUUGUGAAACUUGAACCGCUGGGUGCAAAGUUCACGCCCUUUUCUCCUUUCCUCUCUUGCCUGGGCCGGCUCCUCCUGGAGCAGGGAGGGAAGAAGUUCUUGGCCUCCAGACCUGGGAGAGGAGUUUCCGAAAGUCAGGGCCUCGCCUCGCUGUGACAUUAGACCCUUGCCACCCACCAGACCGAUGGACACUAAACACUUUCCUUGUCGGAAGGCGCUAGUAGUUGCAGCGGCCAGGCUUGGCAGGGCCCUGGUCGACCACCCCACCACUGCCCUGGCCGGACUUUCCCAGGGCGUUGGUCUCCUGGUCCCUAUUAAGUCGGGGCUGUCCUGGGCUUGGAGCCCAGGUUCAGGGCUGUCAGCCCCUUGCCAGCUGUCUGAGCUCUCUGCCUUUCUAGUUUAUUUUCCCCCAGCUCUUGCCCUGGGUUAGCUCUCUCCCAGCCCUCCACUCUGUCUCUGUCUCCGACUCCAUCUCUGGCAGGGCUGCCACUGUCUCUCUGUCUCUCUGUCUCUCCCUGUCUCUCUGUCUCUGUCUCUCUUGUUUGUUUCAAGGCGCGGACACUGAUUGUGCCUUAUGAAGUUCUAACUGGUUUUGUGUCAGGAAGAUCUUUCUCGCCGCUACCCAGCCUGGCGUGACGGAUUAAACAUCAACUAG
rnacentral:lncRNA from 1 species